CCCAUCAUAGAGAGGAUGACCACCCAUCAUAGAGGGGAUGACCCUAGGGUCUCAAUUCCUAAACCAAGAGUCCUGAAUAGAAGCGAAUAAGGGGGACAAGUUUAUAAAAUUUCGCAGCUGAUGAGAGCUAGAAGAGUCCUUCUAACUUUUUCUUCCAGUAUGCCACUCCAGGCUCUUAAUUCCUCUUCUAUUUGGCCACUAACUGAUGAAGUAACAUUGAGGAGUUUGAGAGCUGAAUCUCACAGCCGUCUUGUUUUUGGACACCAAAGAAGAAGAUGAUUGGAGGAGUCACUCUCUCUUGUGCACAAAAAGCAGUUAUUGGCCAUGUCUAUCUCUUCUUAUCACGUUAUCCAUGGUAAGGACCCUCACCGAAGCAGCCUCUCUAGAAAAAGGAAAUUAUUGAAGCAGGUGACAGUCUAGGAUCUCAUCAGAAGGUGAGAGUAACAGGACUUGUCAGGGAAAAUUCGAUUUUGGAGAGCUUCCAUCGCAAUGCAUUCUAAGAUUCUGGUUUAAUAGAGAACUUGUCCAAAGCAGCAAGAAAAUAAAUCUAGUCAAUGAAUUCCUAGGUAUUGAGAUUCCAAUGGAGAGGGAUGCUUUAUUAGAUUCCAUUGCUGCACAAUAGAAAAAUAAACAGGAAUAUCUCUUUCCAAGGCCUAUCUGCUUACCACAGAUCAGGCAGAAAUUGAUUUGACUGUCUUUUUACCACCUUAAGCCGAAUGAGGCCUCAACAUUCAUUCAAACUCCUAAUUUAACUCCAAGGGGUAGAGCCAAACUUUCCUGGAGCUCCGACCAUUGAAUUUAACCUUGAUUAUUUUUCACCACAAAGAUUCUCUGUGAUUACAAACAUCAAUUCGGUUUAGCCAAUAAGGCUUGAUAAAGGCCAGUAAGGAUUGGAUAACAAGCUCUCCUUUCUGCAGCGACUUCUUCACAUAAUGCCACACCUCCAUGGAGUGCUUCUCAUGGGUUGGUCUUUCUCACAAGAGACAACACUGGAUAGUUUCAAAGCCUCUUGCCAGCUUCCACGGAGAUAGGGAAAAGGGACAGAAAAAUAAAAUGGGAGAUCGGAAGAAAGCACUUUUUAGAAGGACCAAUCUAUCCCAUCUGAUAAAUAGGAUCAAUCCCACUGCACUGUAACACAGUUUAAAACACUUGAAAACAAGCAUAAGCCUGUGGUUUUCAAGGAACUGCGGAGAAUUUGGGAAAAUGAAGACCGUGAUCUUCCGUUGGAGAAGGGAGUUUAUAACGAAUCAAAUACAUUGUUGUUAGAUGAUUCUCCUUAUAAAGCCUUGCUUAAUCCUGUAGGCGUGUUGGCCUUUGUUUUUGGUCCUUUUUAUUAUUACGUUUAUGAUCUUUGGACCAGUCUCCUGACAUGUUGAACCUUUUUCUUAAGAUGGAUACUGCAAUCUUUCCCUAUACAUACAAGUAUCUGGAUAAAAGCGACAAUUCAUUAGGUGAUGGUGGUGAUCUUAGAGUUUAUUUGGAGGAGUUGGCGGCAGCUGAUAGUGUGCAGGAGUUUGUACGAAAGCACCCAUUUGGUCAAGUUGCUAUCACAGAAGCAAGUGAAUCUCGGAGCUUCUACCUCCAGGUAAUCAGUACACUGGAUAACUCCACGACGAGUUCAUUUUGUGUAUGAGGGUCUCUUCGACUUGAAUUUUAAAAAGGGAUCUCUUGGCUUGGGAUUUGGUAGUGGAGAUUGUUGGUUAAGCUGAUUUUAAUACAAGAGAAGCAAAGAAGAGUGACUUGGGAAGUGAGGAUGGGAAUUUUUGUGCAGCUCCUCCCUGAUUUUAACAAGACGUAUGGUGCGUUUUAUUGGUAACUAGAGCACAUUAGUUAUUACCUCUGCCAUAAUGGUCUUACAGCAAGCAAUAAAUUAGUUUGAGAAAAUAAAGAGCAGUCCUAUCAUUGGCUUUAUUUGUUUUUCUUUUUGCAAACAUUAUUAUUGUCAAAACUUCCUUUCAGAGCCCCAAUUAUUCUCGUAGCUUCCCAUAUUGGUUAGACUC